UCUUAUCAAGAGAGGUUGAGGGAAUGGCCCAAUGACACCUCAGCAACCACCGUAUCAAAGCGGAAAGGUGCUAAAUCCUACAAGUUGUUCCCAACUUGAAAGAUGAGA
rnacentral:ncRNA from 1 species